AAAAAAGACAAAAAGAGAAAAAGAAAAAGAAAGAAAAAUGAAAAGACAAAAACUUCUUUGUUCUUUGUUUUUUGUUUCUGUUCUCGUUUUUUAUUUUGUUUUCUUUUCUUUUGGAGAUUCUUU
rnacentral:ribozyme from 13 species